rnacentral:misc_RNA from 1 species
AGUCGUUCGCCAUUACGCAGCCCUCCUCUCCCCAUCACCGCUCACAGACUCGCGUAUUUGUACGCUCUUUCCCGUGUGCCCUGUGCAUCGCAGCCGAACAAACCCGUAAUGCACCGUGCGCGGAACGUUCGAUCUCAUACGGGCGAGUAUGCCCCAGACAUUUUGGUGGUUGGUUCUUGCUUUCUGGACUAUGUCGGCUACGUGGACCACAUGCCGCAGGUGGGCGAGACGAUGCACUCGGUGUCGUUUCACAAGGGGUUUGGCGGCAAGGGCGCCAACCAAGCUGUGGCGGCUGGCCGCUUGGGGGCCAAGGUUGCCAUGGUGAGCAUGGUCGGGACAGAUGGCGACGGCAGUGACUACAUCAAGGAGCUGGAGAGAAACGGUGUUGACACGGCGUACAUGUUUCGCACCGGCAAGAGCUCGACUGGACUGGCGAUGAUCCUGGUCGAUACCAAGUCAUCCAACAACGAAAUCGUCAUUUGCCCCAACGCCACAAACCAUUUCACACCUGAGCUGCUGCGCGCGCAGACGAACAACUACGAGAGGAUCCUGCAUACCGGGCUCAAGUAUCUUAUCUGCCAGAACGAGAUACCCCUUCCCACCACGCUCGACACGAUCAAGGAGGCGCACAGCCGUGGCGUGUACACGGUGUUCAACAGCGCUCCGGCCCCGAAGCCGGCUGAGGUGGAGCAGAUCAAGCCGUUUCUCCCGUACGUGUCGCUCUUCUGCCCGAACGAAGUGGAGGCGACGCUCAUUACCGGCGUGAAGGUGACGGACACCGAGUCCGCCUUUAGCGCCAUCAAGGCGCUGCAGCAGCUCGGCGUUCGUGAUGUCGUCAUCACGCUCGGUGCGGCCGGCUUUGUCCUUUCUGAAAACGGUGUCGAGCCGGUGCAUGUCACGGGCAAGCACGUCAAGGCGGUGGACACGACCGGCGCCGGUGACUGCUUUGUCGGCUCCAUGGUGUAUUUCAUGAGCCGCGGCCGCAACCUUCUGGAGGCCUGCAAGCGAGCCAACGAGUGCGCCGCCAUCAGCGUCACGCGCAAGGGCACCCAGCUGUCCUACCCGCACCCAAGUGAGCUGCCGGCUGGUGUCAUGUAGUCGUGAGUAGAGGGCAUGCUCGCCUCCUCCUCCCCGACGCUGCGAAAGGCGAUGGGGUGCUGCCGAUGGUGAUGAUGGUGCCGGGGGCACUGGAGCGCCAAUAUGUUUAAGCGCUUACGAACAGAGCACGCCAUCGGAGCAAGCAACUGCGAAGGCGCGCACAGGGGGUGGGGGACGUGCGGUGGUGUUGUGACGCGGUUGCCUUUCGAGCAACAGCGCGUAGACCGAAAGUCUUCAAAGUACGGCGGACGUGUUUGCUGGUUUGUGUGCGCCUCGCUCCUCUCUCGAGGGCCUUCUUGUCUUUCUUCUCUGGCCAUUCUCGAACCUCUCUUGCAUCUUCGUCCCUCUCUUGCGUCGACUUCCGUGUGUGUGCGUGUGUGUGUGUCCACACGGUGUGCAUAACGUGUGUAUGUAUACAUCUCUCUUCCCCUGCCUCUCUCUGCCUCCCAUGGCGAGAGGCGCUUGCCGUCGUGUGCUUCGCCGUUACCGGCUCUUCUAUGUCACCUCACAAAACGUUUCUUUCAUGUUUUAUGCUUUCACUUUUCCCCGCUCUCUCUCGCUCUCGUCUGUUUGAAUGUUACCCAUGCGCGUUCCCCCCUUGGUUGUCUGUCUCUCUUUUUCUCCCUCUCUCUGUAUGUGUGUACGUGCGUUUGCGUCUUGAUGCCCAUCGCACCGGAGUGGGGCGCGUACAAGCUCCUUUACGCGUGUCCCCAUCUUGCUCUUCGCGUGCCCUUGUGUGUCUGGCGCGGUGUGGCAUUGCCAUCGGUUUACACCAUCGCGGAUGCAGUCGACGGGAUGAAGUCGACGUUUUCGAGCCACUCGAUCCUUUUUCUCUCUCUCUGCUCGUUUCUUCGCUGUGCACCACACAGGUGGGAGAAGAAAAAAAAACUUCACUCGUGGUCAAGCGCGCUGGAAGACAGUCAGUGGGAUACGCUCGAUGAGCGAGGAGGCUGCAGAGGCGUUGGAACGGCGGUGGAAAGCGGAGAGGGCGGGAGGGGUGGGGGGGAGUCUAUGAGAGCCGGGAAUACGUGCGCAUACACCCACCAGCCAUAAGCAGCAGCAACAACGAAGAAGCAGCAGCCAUCAUCAUCGCAAUGCUGCCUAGCGUAACGUGCCCACUGGCGGAGGUAAUGAGUGGCGUGCGAGGAGUGCACUUGAAGCUGACCAGAGGUGAUGAUUAGACGAGGUCCCCUGCCCCAGAACGUGUGCCUACCCUGGAGCUUCUACAUGGAGAGCCACAGGAACAUAAUACCCCUCCUUCAACUUUAUCUCUCCUUGUGCAUCUGCAUGGCACCCUUCUUUCCCUCCCCACUGCACAUGAUGGGCCUGCACUCGACGUGAGCCAAUCUCACGGUCGCUCACACCCAAACCAUUCGUGUACCCCCCGUCCUCUACCACACAUCCACACUCACACCGAACACGGUGGUGUGUAG